GCAUGCAUGGCUGAGUGGUCGAAAGCGCCGGGCUCAUAACCCGCUUCCUAAUAAGACAUCGCAGGUUCAAGUCCUGCUGCAUGCA
rnacentral:tRNA from 1 species